CCAGUCCUGUGAAAGCAAAAGGAAAUGAGAGGAAACUUGAUACACAGAGAGGCGGCCAAGUUAAAACCACAAGCAGUGUGUGCCACACCUGUUUUCAAAAGACACUCCCAUUCGCGUGGAGGUUCUGACUUAGGCGUUACUAUAACGUCGCGUUUCAGGUGAGAGCAAAUUUCGCAAAGGGUUCCCUGGUCCCCCCACCCCGCCCCCGCAUCCCGAGCUUAGAUGGGAGCCCCUGGCCCUUGCAGAGGAGGUCUCCUGACCCCAAGCUUCCACCCCUCACGCUGGGAAGGGAGGUGAGAAGCGGAACAUCCCUCAAAACCCGGGGGGAGCCAGCCUAGGAGAGGAGAGGGGCGGCCGGGACACUCACCCCGGCGCCGCCGGGGAACACGGGGCACGGGGCCGGGCGGGGCAGGGCGGCUCCGCUAGGCUGGUCCGGGUCCUCGGAGUCCUGCGCUCUUUCAUGGCCUGCAGGCGGCGAGUCCUCCGGAAGGGAGAAUGGAAUCCUGCCACGGGAGACCAAACACAGAGGUAGAGGGAGAAAAGGGGGCGGAGUUGCGAGGGUGAGCCCGAGGCGAGGGGAGGGGCUCAGCCCUGCGGCGCGGGAGCCACGCCCUGAGGGGACAGAGCUGUGGCCCUGGGGACGCCAAGGCCGCAACUUCUGCAACCAACCUGAGGUAUAUACUGGGAAUACCAACUGUUGCCUUCAGGUCACUACCAAGUUGGGGAGUGGGAGAUGGUACCAGUUCCAGGUAAGAGGAAAUAAACACAUGGCCGCCUCUCUCCCUUACCGAGUAUACAACCUAGACAGUACACAGUGCAGCUACCUGAAGUCUCCGAACACCAUGACAGCUUAAAUACAGGGAGAGGGAUAAAGCUGGAGCCCAGGAAGAUGGGACAGAGGAGGAGCUGAGACCUGACCUUACAGAAUGUUUCAAGGGCACUGAAUGGGCCACGCUAUGGCAUCUGUGAUGAAAGAUGGGCACUGAGGAGGUAACCUCACUUGACUGUUCAGAGGCUGCAUGAAGAGGAAGGUCCUUAGCAGUUAGAAGGGGUGAGUGGCGCAGGGAGGAGCUCAUGUUUCUUUACACAGCUUCUGCUAAACGCUUCAUAUGUGCUAUGCCAGGUAAGCCUCACUAAGCCUGGGACGUGGGGUGGGCCACCUAUUUUCCAGAAGAGCAAGCUGAGUCCCAGAGCCGUUAAACCUCUGUGUCAAAGGCCACAGUCAUGGUGAGUGACAGGGCUGAGGAAGCCUUCAAUAAACUUAUAUGCCUCCAUCAGAAUUGAUAUGAAUGAAACCCCCCAGACUUCCUUCAUUCCUACACUUUUGAAUCCCAAACAGGCCAUGAACUUGAGAAGACAGAAGCCACCAGCAGUGUGAGGGAGGCGUAGAAAUCAAAAUAUUUCACUGUUCAGUGGUUUGCUGAACACAAGACACUCCACCCCAUGUCAUGAGACAUGAAAGAACAGGGGCUGGGGCCCUUGGUACCUUCACAGGUCUCCCUGAGGAGCUCGUCUCUGGCUGACAAAGAUAGGGGGCGGGUUUUCCACACGUCUCAUCUGGUCUCCUUGUCUCUGAGGAGGGCGCUGCCAUCAAGGAUGGAUUGGCCACAGUUCAGCCCAGGCCAGGGUGGCUGUCACAGCUGGGUGAAUUCAUGGCGCUCUCGGUGGUUCCCAGACCUGCACGCCUCUCUUAGCAGAGAAAGUGACUAAGGGGAAGAGAUUUGCUUGGAGUCCCAACUAAGAAUGGAUUAAGACAGACCACUCUUUCUGAGGAAGGGGAAGCCAGAGGAACAAACCCCAGCUUUCGGGUUGAGGGGGGAUGCGGUUCUGUGGGCCCGUAGGGGAGGACAUGCGGAACGCCCCUAUGGGCAUGGGCAGGGGGCCACAGAAACUUCUCUCAGAGGCUCAAAUCCAGGGGCUUGCUCGGCUCUUCAUGGGUGAGGGGCGUGGUCUCAGGACCCCAAUUGGUAAACGGCAAUGGAGAAAGAUCUAGCUCAGGGGCUGUGUAUUUAUAAGCUGCGAAUUACUGAGUAAUUAAAUACAUAACACAUAGAACCGGGGAGUAGACGUGCUAACAGCCUCCCUUAUGUUAAUUGUAUGUGUCACUGAGCACAUCAGCAUCAACUGCUUCAUAUUCGUGAUAAUAGUCAGUGUGUAGGGUUCUAGAACCUCUAGACUGGCACAGUCAGAACCUCAGAGGCCAUCCAGCUUGGUCUCCCAUAUCUGAUAUUAGA